AACGAACGCUGGCGGCAGGCUUAACACAUGCAAGUUGAACGCAUCGCAAGAUGAGUGGCAGACGGGUGAGUAACGCGUGGGAACAUACCCUUUUCUACGGAAUAGCUCUGGGAAACUGGAAUUAAUACCGUAUACGCCCUACGGGGGAAAGAUUUAUCGGGGAAGGAUUGGCCCGCGUUGGAUUAGCUAGUUGGUGGGGUAAAGGCCUACCAAGGCGACGAUCCAUAGCUGGUCUGAGAGGAUGAUCAGCCACAUUGGGACUGAGACACGGCCCAAACUCCUACGGGAGGCAGCAGUGGGGAAUAUUGGACAAUGGGCGCAAGCCUGAUCCAGCCAUGCCGCGUGAGUGAUGAAGGCCUUAGGGUUGUAAAGCUCUUUCACCGAUGAAGAUAAUGACGGUAGUCGGAGAAGAAGCCCCGGUUAACUUCGUGCCAGCCGCCGCCGUAACAC
rnacentral:rRNA from 1 species